CAAGCAAUGGCGCGUGCUAUACAUGCAGUCGUACGCUUCUUUUUCCCCGGAGCUUGCUCCACCGGAAAAAGAAGAGUGGCGAACGGGUGAGUAACACGUGGGUAACCUGCCCAUCAGAAGGGGAUAACACUUGGAAACAGGUGCUAAUACCGUAUAACAAUCGAAACCGCAUGGUUUUGAUUUGAAAGGCGCUUUCGGGUGUCGCUGAUGGAUGGACCCGCGGUGCAUUAGCUAGUUGGUGAGGUAACGGCUCACCAAGGCCACGAUGCAUAGCCGACCUGAGAGGGUGAUCGGCCACAUUGGGACUGAGACACGGCCCAAACUCCUACGGGAGGCAGCAGUAGGGAAUCUUCGGCAAUGGACGAAAGUCUGACCGAGCAACGCCGCGUGAGUGAAGAAGGUUUUCGGAUCGUAAAACUCUGUUGUUAGAGAAGAACAAGGAUGAGAGUAACUGUUCAUCCCUUGACGGUAUCUAACCAGAAAGCCACGGCUAACUACGUGCCAGCAGCCGCGGUAAUACGUAGGUGGCAAGCGUUGUCCGGAUUUAUUGGGCGUAAAGCGAGCGCAGGCGGUUUCUUAAGUCUGAUGUGAAAGCCCCCGGCUCAACCGGGGAGGGUCAUUGGAAACUGGGAGACUUGAGUGCAGAAGAGGAGAGUGGAAUUCCAUGUGUAGCGGUGAAAUGCGUAGAUAUAUGGAGGAACACCAGUGGCGAAGGCGGCUCUCUGGUCUGUAACUGACGCUGAGGCUCGAAAGCGUGGGGAGCAAACAGGAUUAGAUACCCUGGUAGUCCACGCCGUAAACGAUGAGUGCUAAGUGUUUGGAGGGUUUCCGCCCUUCAGUGCUGCAGCUAACGCAUUAAGCACUCCGCCUGGGGGAGUACGACCGCAAGGUUGAAACUCAAAGGAAUUGACGGGGGCCCGCACAAGCGGUGGAGCAUGUGGUUUAAUUCGAAGCAACGCGAAGAACCUUACCAGGUCUUGACAUCCUUUGACCACUCUAAAAGAUAGAGCUUCCCCUUCGGGGGCAAAG
rnacentral:rRNA from 1 species